UCAGGAAUAUUGGGCAAUGGGCGAAAGCCUGACCCAGCAACGCCGCGUGAAGGAUGAAGGCCCUCGGGUCGUAAACUUCUGUCGAGAGGGAAGAAUGCGUACGGGUGAACAAUCCGUGCGUUUGACGGUACCUCCAAAGGAAGCACCGGCUAACUCCGUGCCAGCAGCCGCGGUAAUACGGAGGGUGCAAGCGUUGUUCGGAUUCAUUGGGCGUAAAGCGAGUGUAGGCGGUUUGACAAGUCGGAUGUGAAAUCCCGGGGCCCAACCCCGGAACUGCAUCCGAUACUGUCUGGCUAGAGUCCCGGAGAGGGUGGCGGAAUUCCCGGUGUAGGGGUGAAAUCCGUAGAUAUCGGGAGGAACACCAGUGGCGAAGGCGGCCACCUGGACGGUGACUGACGCU
rnacentral:rRNA from 1 species